UUAAGCAUAUCAAUAAGCGGAGGAAAAGAAACCCAACAGGGAUUGCCCUAGUAACGGCGAGUGAAGCGGCAACAGCUCAAAUUUGAAAUCUGGCUCCUUUGGGGUCCGAGUUGUAAUUUGUAGAGGGUGCUUUGGCGUUGGUUGUGGUCUAAGUUCCUUGGAACAGGACGUCACAGAGGGUGAGAAUCCCGUACGUGGCCGCCAGCCUUCGCCGUGUAAAGCCCCUUCGAUGAGUCGAGUUGUUUGGGAAUGCAGCUCUAAAUGGGAGGUAAAUUUCUUCUAAAGCUAAAUAUUUGCCAGAGACCGAUAGCGCACAAGUAGAGUGAUCGAAAGAUGAAAAGCACUUUGGAAAGAGAGUCAAAAAGCACGUGAAAUUGUUGAAAGGGAAGCGCUUGCAGCUAGACGUGCCUUGGGUUGAUCAGCCGGACUUUUGCCCGGUGCACUCUUCCUUUGGCAGGCUAGCAUCAGUUUGGGCGGCUGGAUAAAGGUCUGUUAAACGUGACUUCCUUCGGGGAGAGCUUAUAGGGCAGACGACAUGCAGCCAGCCUGAACUGAGGUCCGCGCAUCUGCUAGGAUGCUGGCAUAAUAGCUGUAAGCGGCCCGUCUUGAAACACGGACCAAGGAGUCUAACAUCUAUGCGAGUGUUUGGGUGUCAAGCCCGAGCGCGUAAUGAAAGUAAACGGAGGUGGGAACCUUUUAGGUGCACCAUCGACCGAUCUUGAUGUCUUCGGAUGGAUUUGAGUAAGAGCAUAGCUGUUGGGACCCGAAAGAUGGUGAACUAUGCCUGAAUAGGGUGAAGCCAGAGGAAACUCUGGUGGAGGCUCGCAGCGGUUCUGACGUGCAAAUCGAUCGUCAAAUUUGGGCAUAGGGGCGAAAGACUAAUCGAACUAUCUACUACCUGGUCC
rnacentral:rRNA from 2 species